GACGAACGCUGGCGGCGUGCUUAACACAUGCAAGUCGAACGGAAAGGCCUGCUUUCCCUUGUGGAUUGCGGGUACUCGAGUGGCGAACGGGUGAGUAACACGUGAGUGAUCUGCCCCCAACUUGGGUAUAAGCCUGGGAAACUGGGUCUAAUUCCCGAUAGGACUGCAGGGUGGUGCCUGUGGUGGAAAACGAUUUUCUAGUGGUUGGGGAUGAGCUCGCGGCCCAUCAGCUUGUUGGUGGGGUAAUGGCCUACCAAGGCGGCGACGGGUAGCCGGCCUGGGAGGGUGGACGGCCACAUUGGGACUGAGAUACGGCCCAGACGCCUACGGGAGGCAGCAGUGGGGAAUAUUGCACAAUGGGCGGAAGCCUGAUGCAGCGACGCCGCGUGGGGGAUGACGGCCUUCGGGUUGUAAACUCCUUUCGACCGCGAGGAAGCCACCUGGUUGGAAGGGUGGUGACGGUAGUGGUAGAAGAAGCACCGGCUAACUACGUG
rnacentral:rRNA from 1 species